CCCUUCGGGGCGAAGAUAAGACGGAUUAGCGGCGGACGGGUGAGUAACACGUGAGUAACCUGCCUUUUACACAGGGAUAGCCUCGGGAAACCGGGAUUAAAACCUGAUGAAACUAUCAAAUCACAUGAUUAAGAAAGUUAAAACUCCGGUGGUAAAAGAUGGACUCGCGUCCCAUUAGCUAGUUGGUGAAGGUAACGGCCCACCAAGGCAACGAUGGGUAGCCGGCCUGAGAGGGUUAACGGCCACAUUGGAACUGAGAAACGGUCCAAACUCCUACGGGAGGCAGCAGCA
rnacentral:rRNA from 1 species